GUUUGCUUCAGCAGUGCGUACACUAAAAUUGGAAUGAUACAGAGAUCAGCAUGGUCCUUGGGCGAGGAUGGCAGGCAAAUGCAUGAGGCGUUCCAUAUUUUU